GCAAACAAAAUCAGAGAUUAUUAUCAGAAGCUGCGAAAUAUGAGAUUAAACAUAUCCAAAAUCCAGGUUCACAUAAAUCAAAAACCUUGAUAUUCUUCAAUCAAAAAGAUACCACGAAAAAUAAUAACAGUAAUAUCAAAAAAAGAACUAUUAGAACGUAAAGCAUCCUAGAUGACAAACUUCACCACUUAAGGUUUCAUAAUCAAUCAACGCUCUGCAUAAUAUCCUCAGCUGUAAACUUGGUGCCCUUGUCCUUGUCAGCAGCGGCGCGACCCUUGGCCUUGCGGUCAAGCAGAGACUUGCGGUCCUUGUCAAGGCGGAGCUUGGUGAUAACAACCUUAGAAGGAUUGAUGCCAACGUUGACGGUGGAUCCAUUCACUUUCUCCCUAGUGAUGCGCUCAAUGUGGAUGACCCACUUGCGGCGGUAAACCUGGACUACCUUACCCUCGCGGCCCUUGAAUGUCCCACGAACCACCUGCACCUCGUCGUCCUUGCGGACCGGCACAGAUCGGACGUUGUACUUCUGGCGGAGGUCAGUGGAGAGAGGCGCGCUCAUGAGGAUCCGACGAACGGAGGAGGGGGCCGUGAAGUGAGCCUUCCGGCUCUUGCGCCGGGAAGAUGAAACCCUAGGAUUGUACUUCAUGGUGCUUGUGUGCGGCGGUGGUAGAGUGUGCUAGGGUUUUGGGAGAGAAACACGGCGUAAAAAAGCAAGUGGAAUUGAA
rnacentral:misc_RNA from 1 species